rnacentral:tRNA from 1 species
GGGGAUGUGGCUUAGUGGUAGAGUGCUUGCCUCCCAUGCAUGAAGCCCUGGGUUCGAUUCCUCAGUACCA